GGUCGGUACCCAAGCGGAUUUGCGUACAAAUACCAAUGUACUGAAUAAAUUACAGUCUAAUGGUGAACAACCAAUCUCGUAUGCAGAUGCCUGGGACCUGGCAACUACAAUUGGUGCAAAAUAUAUUGAAACUUCAUCAGCAACACAGGAUAAAGUUAAAGAAGUCUUUGAUACAGCCAUUUGGGAAGGCUUGGCACCAUCUAUAUUACCACCCACACCAGCACCAUUAUGGAAGA